UACGGAGGGAGCUAGCGUUGUUCGGAAUUACUGGGCGUAAAGCGCGCGUAGGCGGCUUUGUAAGUCAGGGGUGAAAUCCUGGAGCUCAACUCCAGAACUGCCUUUGAUACUGAAGAUCUUGAGUUCGGGAGAGGUGAGUGGAACUGCGAGUGUAGAGGUGAAAUUCGUAGAUAUUCGCAAGAACACCAGUGGCGAAGGCGGCUUACUGGUCCGGUUCUGACGCUGAGGCGCGAAAGCGUGGGGAGCAAACAGG
rnacentral:rRNA from 1 species